rnacentral:rRNA from 1 species
AGCUCCAAUAGCGUAUAUUAAAGUUGUUGUGGUUAAAAAGCUCGUAGUUGGAUUUCGGCGGGCUUUGGGUGGUUUGCUUUGUUUCAACACUGACUUAUUUUCCCGUGUGUUUUGCCAGGAUUUAACGGGCUCUUUUUGGCGAGUGUUUGGUUGAGCUGGCAGGUUUACUUUGAAAAAAUUAGAGUGCUCAAAAGCAGGCUUAAUCGCUUGAAUAUUCGUGCAUGGAAUAAUAGAAUAGGAAGUCGUUUCUAUUUUGUUGGUUUUCGGAAAUCGACUUAAUGAUUAAUAGGGACAGUCGGGGGCAUUUGUAUUCAAACGACAGAGGUGAAAUUCCUGGACCGUUUGAAGACAAACUACUGCGAAAGCAUUUGCCAAGAAUGUUUUCA